CCACACAGCGACAGCCAGCCUGGAGAACAUAGGCGUACAUCUCCACUCUAGACUGAGACAACAGCUGGUCUCCUGUCAGAAAGCGGGCAAGGUCGUGUAGAUCCAGGACUUCUUUUUGAUUGCUGUAGGAGAUCAUUAUCAGAGAAAGUCUGCUGUAACCACGUGAAGCUGCAGUCAAGGCUGAACUACACAGAUGAUGAUCAGUUCAGAUUUAUUCUCAACAUCUCACACAAAUGGCCUAUUUGAUUUGUUUUCUUUUACAUAAUCAGUUGAAUAUAUAGUCAUGUAUUUGUAUCAUUUAUAAAUUGAAAAUAUAUGAAUGUAUUAAGGAUAUUGAUCACGGGUGCGCUGCCUCCGGGCCAAACUGUCUUCAUCACUAAUACCAGCCAUGAGGUAUUUCAGCCCAGUGAUCCACGUGCGGGUCUC